CGGCGGGCCGCGACCGGCCUGAGCGCUGCUCGCGGCCGGGGGACGCCCGUCCGCUGGCCCCCAGGAGCCGGGCCCUGCCCGCUCGGCGGGGCUCCUUGCGGCAGAUAUCAGCAGAAUGUUCCAGAGAUCCAAAUGUUACUAAUGGCAGCCUUCAAGUGAUGUGAGUUCUGCUCAAAGUAUGUUAAGCAUUUAUUUGAUAGUUAAGCAGUUAAACUCUUUGACAUUGGUUCA
rnacentral:lncRNA from 1 species